UAUCUCCUGGCCGGGCCUUUUCCCCUUCCCGAAAAAACUUUUGAAAGACGUUUGUUUUUUAUGCGGUAACCUAUGACGUGACCGAGAAGCACGCAUUCACCUGCGUCAAUAGUGACAUACUGUAGACUGAUAUAACAGAGAAUAAUGUAAUUUUUCAAAAUAAAAAAUCUUUCAGAUUCCGAAAUGAAUAAAACGAAAGGAAUGAAAGUUAUUUAUUCUUUCUGUGCGGCCCAGCACCAAAUGAGCCGCGGUUGAGGACCGUUGCGCUAAUUGGCACGCCUUUGUGGAGGCCAUGUUGUCAGGGCCGACGUUCCCAUCAAAGACGACUGACUAACGAAGAAAGAGCAGGCGUUCCCACUCUCAUGCUUUCAGUGAACCAGCUGAUGUGCAGGACUUGCAUAUUGGAAAGAUUCUUCAGGCCGCAUCCCUUUAGCCACGCCCACAGGGAUGAUGCCCUGCUGUCCUCAGACACGACGUACAGUCUGACCUCCUUAAACUUCACCGCAUGCCUGGGGACACUGACGCUCGCUGGUUUUGACCGCUUCCGAACACAAGGCACAACAGCAGCAUGGAACAUCUUUUCUGGAAUGAG